ensembl:snoRNA
ACCCUUUUUGUGGUUCAUAAGGUUGAUUAUUUGGUUCUCAUGACACUGCGUGAGAUGUACCUCACUCAAACCUCAUUACAACGCUGGCGCAUUAACCAUCUGAGG